GUCUUCCCACAACGACUUCUAGCGACGCGAGUAUCUCCACCCGGCCCCAAGGGCAAAAGGCGGCCAAGAGAGACAAACGGAAAGGCAAGAAAAAGGCCGAAGAGACGUCGGAGGAUAUAACCAAAAAGCUCUCGGGUACAUGGCGAAUAUGGUGACUGCAAUGGAAACGUUCUCCCAAGUUCAAUGUGACCUCGCCGAUAGCAUGUUGAUGAGCCGGGACACCUCUCAAAUGAAUCCGGACGAAUUGGCGUUUCACAUGUGCAAGGUGGCGGAGAUCAAGCAACGAAACAACAUCCGCUAGAUUUUUAGGAUUUUUUAUUUUAUGUUUGUUUUAAUUUAAGUAAUUUAGGAUUUUAAUUUCUUGUAUUGCAACUUUAAUUCAAUCAAUGUAGGAUUUG
rnacentral:lncRNA from 1 species